rnacentral:rRNA from 1 species
GACGAACGCUGGCGGCGUGCCUAAUACAUGCAAGUUGAGCGCUGAAGGUUGGUACUUGUACCAACUGGAUGAGCAGCGCACGGGUGAGUAACGCGUGGGGAAUCUGCCUUUGAGCGGGGGACAACAUUUGGAAACGAAUGCUAAUACCGCAUAAAAACUUUAAACACAAGUUUUAAGUUUGAAAGAUGCAAUUGCAUCACUCAAAGAUGAUCCCGCGUUGUAUUAGCUAGUUGGUGUGGUAAAGGCUCACCAAGGCGAUGAUACAUAGCCGACCUGAGAGGGUGGUCGGCCACAUUGGGACUGAGACACGGCCCAAACCCCUACGGGAGGGAGCAGGAGGGAAUCUUGGGCAAAGGACGAAAGUCUGACCGAGCAACGCCGGGUGAGUGAAGAAGGUUGUCGGAUCGUAAAAGUCUGUUGGUAGAGAAGAACGUUGGUGAGAGUGGAAAGCUCAUCGAGUGACGGUAACUGCACAGAAAGGGACGGCUAACUACGUG